AUGGAAAAAAAAUUGCAACCUAACAGGACAGCAUUCUGUGCCAGGCUCACCUUUGUCUUGGGUGCAAGGUUGGCCAUGAGCGCAGCAGCAGCGUUGCCGGCGUUGUUCUCUUCAAUGAAGGAGAUGGUGGAGUUGAUGACCAGGAGAACGAUGAUUCCGACGAAAUCCUGCCAAUCCGGGGGCUUCCCACCACCGUUGGCCAGCGCGAUGGCCAUGAUGGCAGCCAUCUCCAUGACCCAGGACAGCGGAUUCCACAUGAAUCCCAGGAACUUGAGGACUUUGCUCUCCUGCAAAUCGAGACCCACAAGGAAGCAAUUGAGACAAGGCAAGAAAACAGGCACCAAACUUGCAUCAGAAACCAGUAGUGGCGCUCACCUUCUUCUCUUCGAGCUUGUUGAGACCAAAGAUUUCAACACGCUGCGCCCCCUCAUCGGAGGUGAGCCCCUGGCGCGUGCAUUUCAGCUGCUCGAACACCUCCUCGAUGGGGAUGUUCUCCUGCAAAUAGAAACACAAGCGAAACAAACCAUUGAUGAGAAACCAAGAUCAUGCGAUGAUUUGAGGUGUGACCCCACUCAGUCAGCGACAGCUAGAACAGACAAAUCAAACAGCAAACACAGCUCGUUGUACAGAACAGUAGCUACCCCGUCGUGGGCCCCACGGGCCAGCCUCUACCAGACAAAGCUGGGGUCAGAACAUCCGAAGAGGGAAGAGUCCAAGCGGGCAUCCAUCAACGAAGGAGGCGUGGGGCCAAUGAUUGGGACCCGUACGGCCGUCUGA
rnacentral:rRNA from 1 species